rnacentral:rRNA from 1 species
AAUCACUUGUCUUUUAAAUGAAGACCCGUAUGAAUGGCAAAACGAGGGCUUAACUGUCUCCUCUAUCCAGUCAAUGAAAUUGAUCUCCCCGUGCAGAAGCGGGGAUACCACCAUAAGACGAGAAGACCCUAUGGAGCUUUAGACAACAAUUCAGCCCGUCCCAAAAUUCUUAAAUAAACGAACACACUUAACGGCCCCUGUAUUAAUGUCUUCGGUUGGGGCGACCGCGGGGAAAUACAAAACCCCCAUGUGGAAUAAGAGCACUUAACCCCUUCACUCCCUGCUCUUAGAAACUAGAGGGACACCUCUAAUUAACAGAACUUCUGACCUUAAAUGAUCCGGCCUGCCGAUCAGCGAACCAAGUUACCCUAGGGAUAACAGCGCAAUCCUCUUUUAGAGCCCA